rnacentral:lncRNA from 7 species
CUCUUAACCGUCGUAGAGUUUGUUGCGAUCCAUGUCAUGGUUGUUGGGAUCCUGGCAAUCCCUCAAACCAUGUCGCACCCGAGUAUUUAGGCUGGGCGCUUGGGCCCUUGCGCUUAUAAUUUGUUAUCUGGAGCCCUUAUCACCGGAGAGAGAGAGAGAUCUGGUGAGGAAGCCGUCGCCAACGAACCGCGAGCAGCAGUGCUAAAUGGACCUCGGCAUGGGGUCGAGGAGGGUCUCCUAUGCUCGUGGAUCGCGUGCAAGCUAGUAUGUGGGCGCAAUGUUCCUCGGAGUAUUCAGAAUUGCUAACCGAAGCAAGGCCGCCGCCAUGGUGCCGCUGCUCAACGGAGGCAGGUAGCGACCACUACCACAUAAACCCCCGGUAUGUAACCUUCAUAUGCUUUGCUACAGUCACAGCUACGUACAUAUAAUUGAUCGAGGUAGGUUUUGGUGAAGCUAAGCGCUGGGGCAAGUGUCUCCGGUGAGCUGUGCCACCACGAGGCUUCUGCUCUGCCGCCUGGCGACGCCGGAGAAAGGUGACGGGCUUGGACCGGUUGAUCCCAAAGAGAUGGAUAGGAUUAGAAUGCAAGGUAGCAGUUCGGUGAUGGAAUCAGGAGCGUUGGAUCAAAAUGUCGUGGCCCUAAUUAAAUUUGGCAUACCCCUUCACGGAGUUUGAUUUGGGCCAUAGGAUCGGUGAUGGAGGGCGUAGGUUAGUGCAAGAUGUGGCUGCCUCUCGACCGUUGAUCUGAGAUUUGGCGGUUGAAGUUACGUACCAGUUCAUAAAAAGCACUAAUCUAAUCUA